GACGAACGCUGGCGGCAGGCCUAACACAUGCAAGUCGAGCGAAGCCUUCGGGCUUAGCGGCGGACGGGUGAGUAACGCGUGGGAACGUGCCCUUUGCUACGGAAUAGCCCCGGGAAACUGGGAGUAAUACCGUAUGUGCCCUUCGGGGGAAAGAUUUAUCGGCAAAGGAUCGGCCCGCGUUGGAUUAGGUAGUUGGUGGGGUAAUGGCCCACCAAGCCGACGAUCCAUAGCUGGUUUGAGAGGAUGAUCAGCCACACUGGGACUGAGACACGGCCCAGACUCCUACGGGAGGCAGCAGUGGGGAAUCGUAGACAAUGGGGGAAACCCUGAUCUAGCCAUGCCGCGUGAUCGAUGAAGGCCUUAGGGUUGUAAAGAUCUUUCAGUGGGGAAGAUAAUGACUGUACCCACAGAAGAAGCCCCGGCUAACUCCGUGCCAGCCGCCGCAGUAAAAC
rnacentral:rRNA from 1 species